GUUUGAUCCUGGCUCAGAUUGAACGCUGGCGGAAUGCUUUACACAUGCAAGUCGAACGGCAGCACGGGGCAACCUGGUGGCGAGUGGCGAACGGGUGAGUAAUACAUCGGAACGUGCCCAAUCGUGGGGGAUAACGUAGCGAAAGUUACGCUAAUACCGCAUACGAUCUACGGAUGAAAGCGGGGGAUCGCAAGACCUCGCGCGAAUGGAGCGGCCGAUGUCAGAUUAGGUAGUUGGUGGGGUAAAGGCUCACCAAGCCGACGAUCUGUAGCUGGUCUGAGAGGACGACCAGCCACACUGGGACUGAGACACGGCCCAGACUCCUACGGGAGGCAGCAGUGGGGAAUUUUGGACAAUGGGCGCAAGCCUGAUCCAGCCAUUCCGCGUGCAGGAUGAAGGCC
rnacentral:rRNA from 1 species